rnacentral:misc_RNA from 1 species
GGUAAUUGUGACAAGAACUGAGAUUGAUAUGCAAUAUAUAAAAGCUGAAUACCUGAAGAAGUACAAAAAGACAUUGAAUGAUGCAGUUCAUUCAGAAACAUCAGGCCAUUAUCGAGCUUUCCUUCUUGCCCUUUUGGGCCCCAAUCAAUAGCUGAAACAUGAGAGUUGUAUGUCUAAAUAUUAUUAAGUUUGGGGUUAGUAGUUUUCUCAAGAUUGUAUGGUUGUGAUAUAAAUUUAUUUUUCAUUGAAGUGCAGAAGAGGACGUGGGUUUCAAUAGUAUGGAUUUUCUUGUCCAAACCUGAUUCAUCAUUG